GGGUAUAAUUUGUAACUUGGAAAAAUGGCUCGAUGUCACUUGAUUCUGUCAAAAACUUGCUGCACCACAUGUGAUGUGAAGAGUAACAAAUGAAGGAAACAUGAAAUAAAAGGAAUCAUAUUCUGUCUUGCUUAUCAUCAUUUCAUAAUGUGUAUAGUAACUGCAAACUCCGGACUUUACCGCAAAGGAGCAAGAGAUUGAGUAUAGCUGUCAGAAUUUUCAUUGAAGGCAUUUGUGAUAGAUUUUCAGAGUUUCUUUUUUGAAUGGUGAAAAAAAAUGGUUGGAUUAAGAUUGUUUGAACCUUACCGUAUAGUCACUUUUGAAUUCAUGCUCAGCACGGGACAAUCUGGCCAACUCUGAGCUGAGGUUAAAUGCAGUUUGUAUGGGAUCU